AAAAAAAAAAAAGCAAAUAGCACCGCCACACAUCUCAUAUGCGGUGACCCAGAUGAAGAAAACCCUCUGGAUUCAUCUCAUUCUUGCUAUCAUAUUUUUCUUUACACAGUAUUCCAAAAAAUCUGCCGCCUAGUAUGAUGCGGGGAAGUCUCUUUUCAUGUUUAAUCUUCGCGCUUAAACUUUCCAAGCAAUUACCUCUAAGCCUCCUUUGAAGUAGUCCUGCAUAGAUUCAAGGGAUAAUUUCAGAAACUUCCCCUGAGGUUUCUGACAAUUUCACUCAUCUCCCUUCAGAUUUGAAUAAUUACACUAACCUCCCUUCAUGUAGUAAACUGACUAUAAUAUCCUUCAUUUAAAAAUAAUUCCCACAACAACAAAAAAACCUACAACUACAACUAGUCUUUCAUUUUAAAGUAACGGCUACCACACAAAAUAAACUCUUAUUCUUUCUUUCCGACUCUCUUUCCUACCUUCUUUCUCCUACAUCUCAUAAUCCAUUAUUUUUUCACAAUUGCCAUCUACAAAAUUAUCUAAUACAUCUCGAAUCCUCAUUAUUAUGGAAAUAGAUCCUCUCUCCCUUUUUUUGUAAGUAUUAUUGAAUUGAAAUUGCCAAAUGACAAGUUAUCGAAUUAGAUUUGUUGUCAAACUAAAUGAAGAUGAAAAGGAUGACGGUGAUACAGAGUACAUAUGAGAAAACAAAAGUGAUAGCUAAAAAGGGAAUAUAAAUUGAGGAAGGUUACGUUAUUAUACCAAUUUGAUAAAAAAUAAUUUUGGAAUAUAAAAACUACAAUUAGAUUUGCCUAAAGACAUGGAAUGUGGUUUCUAGUGUUGCUUUUGGCUGCUCUACGUUGGUAUUCUUGGUGGGUGAGAUUAUUUUAGCAUCAACAAUAUUGCAACCAUUUAGAUUGAGUUUGGAAAGUGAAAUUGGUCAAUUCAAACACUGAAUUUAAGUAGAAAAAAGGGGCUAAAGAUUAGGUUGAAUACAAACUUUAAUUGUCAUAGUUGAUUUGCAUAGGAAGCUUUGGGGCGGCAACAGUGAGCUGUCAAAAUUGUGAGAAUAUGGAGAUUAAAUUGAAGUGAUUUAUUGAGUUCAUUAGGAUGAAGGUUAUGUCGUUUACAAUAGUUGCAAUGUAGAAGAAGUUUAUUAGUGAGUUUUUCACCCUUCUCAAUAAUGAAGGGGUGUUUUAGGAUAUUUGAGGACAAAUUUAGCAUACUAAGUCUAUAUUGUUACUGAAAUACUAAUCAUAGGGGAGUUAAGUAUAAUUUUUUAAACCAGAGGGGAGCUUCCUGGAAUAGUCAGAAACCUCAGGGGAGGUUUCUAAAAUUAUCCCUAAUGUUAAAAGGACAAGGAAGUGGACGGUCAACAAACCCAGAGCAGAUCCUGCAAAAUUUUCCAAAGCCCGUCCAAUACUUUAGGUUGACGAAACAAAGAGCCGGCGGAAGAAAGAAAUAAUGAAAAACUUACAAAGACUUGACUUAGCCCGUCAACUUGAAAGCCACUCUUUUAGUCGUUUUUCAAUAAUUGUAUGGUAUAAAAAUUUGCUUCUUUUUUUUUUAAUUUCUGAAACGAGUAUAAAAUGUACUUGGCAAUCAAAAAAAGCCUCAAGUGGCUGCUCGGGCCUUGAUAAUGUAAAAAAGGUUUUACCAAAAAAAAAAAUGUAAGAAAGGAAUUCGGUCUUUAAUGUACAUUAUUUAUGCCCUUCACUUUUAUUAUCCAUCUUCUACACAGAAUUUCUGUUUGGGGAAAAACUACUCUGAAUUUGGUUGCCUCUGCUGCUCUGCAUGACAGAUAAAGUUCGUAAGCUGUAAUCAGUUUCUUUGCAGUCAAAGGUAUGUAAGGCAUUGUAUUGCCUAUUGCCUUCUGGAUACAAUUCUUUUCUUCGAUUUCUUUUCCGCUUCUAGACAAUUGUGUUCCAAUUUGGUUUCCCUUACUUUUCCUUUUCAUAAAUCUGCAGUCCUCCUAUUUUACAAAUGUUAAUUCUAUUUAUUUAAUGUUAAUGGACUUUAAUUUUAGCUUACAAUAAUCACUGGAUUCGCCCAAGUAAACAUGUACAGUAGUUUGAAUCAUGGCCUGACAAUUGGGGAGGUUGUUAGGGUGUGAGAGGGUUGGGACUUGGGAGGGAUUGAAGGAAAAAGAAAGAAAACUUACGAUAGAUAGCCAUUGGGAUUAUAAGUACAGUUUGAUACUUUAAGUCAUGCUUUGGAAAUGAAGUGCAGUAUGCUUUACAAUGAAAAUAACAAAAGGUACUUGACCAUAAUUAUUAAACAAGGGCUGGCCGAACCGAUUGGGCUGAUGACCGAGCAUUAGGCCGAACUAGGUCUCUAGUUUGAUUAGACAAGGAAUUGAUUCGAUCAAAUUCAUUUGACCUGCUGGUUCAAUUGUUAUAAUUGAUCUUUUUAUUUUAUUUUAUUUUUACAAUUGUAGAUCUUUAUUUUUGAAAUAAAGCAUACAUAUGCUUUUGACUUGGUACAUUGGAUUUUCAUUUAAAUAUGCAUGAGAAUUUACCACUUGUUUAGUUUUUAUUUGAUAACUAAUUAUUAUUUUUAAUAAAAUUGUUUACUUUUCUGUUAUACAAUUAAUCCUUUUAAUUUUCAACUUCUCAAUAUUUGAGUAGUUAGAAAAAUUAUUUUUAAAUAAAAAUAGAACAAUGAAAAAAAUAAUGUUAUAUAUUUUUUAAAACAAGUGACACAAUUUUAUUUUAUAUUUGACUCUAUUAUUUAUUUAUGUAAAAGUAUAAUAAAAUGAAAUUAAAUCUUCUAUUAAUAUCUAUAUUUUCAUUAUAUUAUAUAGACUGAAAUUAAAUCUUCUACGUACAAUAAUUAGUAUUUAAAAACACUUUAUUAGAUACUUUAUGUAUAUUAAAAUUACUAUUUUAUAUUUAUAAAUAUUAAAUUAAUACCCACCGGUCAAAUCCAUGAUCUAUUUGGUCGAACCAAUGACCCAUUGAUUUGGUUCCUCAGCCGAGUAUCUUGUCAGACCGGGUUUAAUAAGUAUUCUAAACUUUAUUACUUUAGCUUUUCAAAAUCAACAAAUGCUAGAUUAGUUGAUAAGUAUGGACCUCCUGAAUAAUCUAUAGGUACUCUAUAAGCAAUAUAUAGUUUCAAGAUUGUGUCCUAAUCCCGUAAUAAUAAUCAAAAUUGAAAUCACUCAAACUUUUUCUACAAAGAAAACUUUGAACUCUUCAAGAUUUCAAAUUUCCAUCUCUUGCACUAACUUUUCCAUCGCUAUCUUACUACAGAUGUGUGAUUCCAUGAGCAUCUAUAUUACAAUCAAGUUGCAUAAGGACUUUGAUCAAUUAGUCAGAUCAGGUUACAAAACUAUGGUACUAAAAUAAUUGUAUUAUAUUCAAAUUACAUGCAAAGAGCUUUAGAUGAAAUACCUACUAGUUAAAUUAAUUGAUGAUUUUAUAGUGUAAAAUUGUAAAUUUUCAGUCCUGCCCAACUUUGAAAGGGUAGGUUAUUCCUUUCAUUCCUUAAUAUGAUAACUUUUGUUAGAUAAUUUAAUAUCACUCCAUGCAUAGCACUAAACAAUGCUUAGAACAUACAUAAAUAAAUAAUUCGCAAAACAUAGAAAAAAGAAAGAAAGAAGAAGAGUAAUUGAGAUAAAGAGAAAACCUAUUAUGCAAAUAAUAUCUGAUAUUAGGGAUGAGAGCAAAAUAUUUGUAAUCAGAAGUUUCAUGAGUGAGGGGACGCGAAGCAAAAUAUGAACCUAAAAAAUACCUAUAAAUGAACUUAUACGUUAUGUGAAUCUCACUUUUAAAAGAAAUUUAUACCCUUUUACUUUUUUAAUUUCACCGGCUCUUAAAUAUGAAAUUAGUGGCAAAUAAAGUCGAAGAGAACAAUAUGUUACUACCAAUGUUUUGAAUUUUGGAUCAGGUAAUGGUUCGGCAAAGUUCAGGAAUCAAUGAGUCCAAUCGGUUAGUCCAAGAGUCGAACCGAUGAUGUCAUAAUGAUGAUAUAAAUAUAUUUUAAUGACGCGUGAAACAAAACAAAUAGAAUACUUAUGUACUUAUAGUGAUUUCAAUUUUUCCCUAGAUGUCCUAUGAUUAAGGGAUCAAAUUUAUAGUAACUAAGUUAUAAUGAUUGACUCGUAUGUUCGGUCAGCUUAACGUUUGUAUAGCUAAAAUGCAUAUUAAUUAGUUUCUAAAUCUAUAAGAUGAUGAAUCUAGAAUGAAAAUUAAUGACCUUUGUAAACAUACAAAAACUAAGGUUGAAAAUAAAAAUAACAAAGAAAGAACUUUAGGUGUGUAAUUAUGAUUGUCUAAAAUAGUAAGAGGUCAAAGUAUAAUAUAAGAAAAGUUUUAAAUUUAAAAGGGAAUUCCUUAUUAGCUCUUCUUCUCCGCCGUGAAAGCUUUGCAUUUUCUUAUGUCCCCAUCAUAAAGUUUCCACACUCCAGCUCGUUUGUUUGUCUUCUAGUCUUUCUUUAAAAGAAAAAAAAAAUUGUCUUCCAAUCUAGGUGUCCAUCAUAGAUUUCUUAUCAAACAAAUUAAUGUCAUGAAAGCUCCUUAUUCUCUGCUUUCCCUUCUAUUUCUUUGCUUCGCUGAUGUUUCCUUGUUUCAAUUGAUGUUUUAGAUCUUUAGAUCUAUCAAUUUUCCUUCCUUCUCCUAGUUUUCUUUUAGGUGUAGAUGAAGAAACUUCCCCAUCAUUGAUUUGUAAGAGUGGCAAUGGGGUGGGGUUGGGGCGUGUGAAGGAUCCCCCACCCCCACUCUGUUGUCAAAUAUCUCUCCCAUCCCCAGACCCCUGCUCCGCCUCCUCCUCGGAAGAAAUCAAUUUAUCAUAUUUAAUAAUCUGCUCAUCUACGAGAUAAUUUUAUCACUCUUUCUAUUUCAAAAUAUUCAAUAAAGACCUGCUCAAUUACUCAACUUUAAACCAUUCAACGAGUUACAAAUACUAAUAACUAAAUAAGAUUAGCAACCUGUCAAUACCAUGAAAAUGACAUUAAAACAUACGACUGAGAUGUAAUAGGACCAAGUUAUAAUUGUAUGUUUACAAUCAUGUUACUAAUUAUAUUAUUAAAUAUAAAGAAUUGGAUCGGAGUAUAACUAAAUUAUUAUAUUGUGUGUAUAUAUGUAUUAUAUAUACAUCUAUAAACAUAUAUAUAUAUAAAUUAUUAUGUUCGUUUGAAGUUGUUAUCCGAUAUUUGAUGAGCUAAAGGUAAAGAACCAGUAGUGAGAUCUUGAAGAUUGGUGCAAAUUCUCCAUCUUAAGGUGAAUAAUUUUACUAGUCGUUCAAUGGUAAAUGGAUUAUAUGCCAUCUCUUACCCAAAAAUGUGGGUUUAGACAUAGAAUUUGAGUGAAAUAGUAGUUUAAAUAAGAACUAUGCAGUUGUGAAUAGCUUUGAUACUACCUGUAACGGUCCCACUUUCUUCUAGGGUGUACCCUAAAAGUUGGCAGAUCGUCUGUCUGGCUCUUGCCAAGACUCAUUAAUUUUCACAUUGAUUUUAGAGAUAACAUUUGAUGAACUCUCAUUAAUCUUACGCAUCAGAAUUUUUCUGAAAUAUAUAUAAAAGGUGACAGUUUCUAUCAGGCAACAUGCAGAAACGUUUACCAAAUUUUUCCAGCUUUGAUGAUCCCUUUCUUGGCUCUAACUCAUUCGAAAACAUUGCUAACUGGAAAUGGAAGGAAAACUUAGUAAAUUGCCUCCUGUUCCUUGCGGUUUUAAGUCGAAACAAUUCUGGUUUCUCUCCCUCGAUGUGGAGCUAGAGUUUUUCUUGAUUCUUGGCUGACAUUUGCGGGUGGAGAAGGGAAGAAAGCUUUCUAUUGUUUAUCUCUCGGUGUUAACAAGCAGAGGAAUAGGUAGUUGGUUCCUUUUCUUCCUUGUUUUCUCUCGGGUCUUAUUGAUUAAGAAUGACAAGAUUGUUUCUUUUCGGUGGCCAGUGGCAGACAAGAACAAAUAAGGUUAGUUUCUCUCGAUUCCACAUAGAAAGCAAUAGGAGGUACUAGUAGAUUGUUUACUUUUCUAUUAUAAUAAUAAUAAUAAGUACUAGUAGUUUCCGUCCCCAGCCCCCUGCUUCACCUCCGCCUAGGAAGAAAUCAAUUUAUCAUAUUUAACAAUCUGCUCAUCUACAAAAUAAUUUUAUUACUAAUUCUAUUUCAAAAUAUUGAAUAAAGACCUGCUCAAUUACUCAACUUUAGACCAUUCAACGAGUUACAAAUACUAAUAACUAAAGAAGAUUAGCAACAUGUCAAUACCAUGAAAAUGACAUUAAAACAUACGACUGAGAUGUAAUAGGACCAAGUUAUAAUUGUAUGUUUACAAUUAUGUUACUAAUUAUAUUAUUAAAUAUAAAGAAUUGAAUUAUAACUAAAUUAUUAUAUUGUGUGUAUAUAUGUAUUAUAUAUAUAUCUAUAAAUAUAUAAAUAUAUAGAUUCUUUUUUUGCAUAUGGGGGACGGAGCAGGUGUAUGUUGCUCCGUCCCCUCCUCAUUUUAAGGCAAGGGGAAAUUUUCUCCCCCCGCCUCGCCUCAUUUCUACUCCCGCGGGCACCCGCCUCCGUUGCCACCCUUAUUGAUUUGUUUGCAAUUUGAGAAAGCGAAAGAUUUUUUUUUUACUUGGACAAAAAGUGCAAAAGCUUAAGAAGUUAAGAUUCGAGUUUCCAAAUCCUAUUUUCCAGUUCAACCUUGAAUGAACCCGAAUUUUUAUCGGCUUUGAUAGGGUCUCUGGUAAUCGAUUUUUUAUAGCAACUCGAAUUAGACACUUGUCUGAUUCUCGAUUCAAUCGGUCGGAUCGAACGAUCUGGACUGAGUUUAAAAACACAUGUUACCAUGUAUAAAGUUUGAGUAAGCUUAUAGUCUUACAAUUUCUGUCAUCUUUUAAAAUCUCUCUUUUGCCCUUACAAGCAAGGGCAAAAUGGACCAACCAUAUAAAGUUUUCCACUUUUUCUAACUUUUAUUAGAGUUUUUAGUUUUUUCAAAAGAGGAAUUUCAAAUUAUGUUAGUUAACCACAAAUAACAGAUAACUUCUAAACAACUACCCAUCUGUACAUUUUUAUCUUCAUAAACUUAUUUAUCAAAUUACUUUCCAAAGUGUAAUACCAAUUUCCGUAAAAUUAAUUUUAUAAAUAACUAGAUAUUUUUUUUAUUGAAUUACAAUUUUAUUUGGAGAGUAUCCAAGAAGUAAUUCUCUUGGAAUAAGUGCAAUGUUAAUAUCCAAUUUGAUUAGCACCAAACUCAUAUUCAACUACUGGAACUCUCUAAAAUGAUUUUAGAAAAAAUGGGAAGUUAAAGUUUAGAAAAAUGGGAAGUUAAAGUUUUUGCAUCUAACCGGUCAUUUUCUUUCAAAAUCCUAUUUUGCAGGACACAAAAUGUAGGAAAGUGAAAGAAAGUACAAGAAAAUUUUCAGGAAAACCAAACAUAUAUUAGAAAAAUUAACUUUCCUUCAUUUUCCACAAUUUGUCUAGCAAACAAACAGCAAUAUCCACUCCUGGGUAUAUCUAAAGUUCAAGGAGGUUGUUCUUCUCAGGGUGGUAUAUUUAAAAUUUACAAAUAAGGUUCUGGUUAAAUCUGGAGAUUGAUUUAUACCGAAACAACUAUUAAUGGUUUACAGAUGUCUUUUAGCUCACAAAGUUACAAUAUUUGAUCUUAAUAUUUCACUAUCACUUAUAUGAUUACCUCCUCUGAUGAUAUAUUUACAGCUACUACUCCAACCUUCAUCAAAUUCAUGUCGGUUAUGCAAUACUCUACAAUGGUUAAAAGACAAAAGACUUAUGAGAAUGAAGUUCAUCAUGUGGAAUUACUUGAAGGAAUCGAAGAUACCUGCGGAGGAAUUGUAGUGGACAUGAUUAAGCCAAUGGAACCUGGCAACUUUAUCAUUGCGCUUAGAGCUUCAAUAUCACAAUGGAAGGAACAGGUAAUCAAUUUCUUUGAUGAACAACAAUCUCUUAUUUCCUUCUGAAAUGUUCUUUAGUUGGCACGAUUUCUAAAUGUCCUUUUCAAUGGAGUAACCACCCUUCAAUCUAAACAGUUCUGAGAGUUUGUUUACCGUUCCUGCCAACUUUUCAGGCUGAAAAUGGACUAAUAGCCUUUAUUUUCCCCGUAUCAAAAAUUUUAUUGUUGGACUUACUCCCAUGGGAUAUUUUGGAGGUUGGAAGUCAUAUUAUUCGGAGAAAUAUUAGGUACACUGCAUGUGCCACGUAGAAAUACACUAAUACCAAUCAAAAGGCACAAAAUAUUAUUGAGGGCUUUUACUUAUCUGAGGUCUAUCGAACAAGGAUUAACAAAUGAUCCACUACCAUUAAUUGACAAUGAGUGAUAAACACUAGUGCAUCACGUGGUGCACAUAGUUCACCUAACAUAUUCUCCACAUUUUUCCACACUAUUAUAGUGAUUAGUUUUUAACUUUUUAUCCAAACUAUUUUCUGAUGGACAACUAGUAAUUGUUGAUGGUGAAUGAUUAAUACUAGUGCGCCCCGUGUACAUGGUCCACCCAACACAUUCUUUACAUUUUUCUGAACUGCUGUAGUGAUUAUUAUUUAACUUUUACCCAUACUAGUUUCCAAUGGACAACUAGCAAUUGUGAGCGCAGAUUAUACUUCAGUUCAUUUGGCUGCACUACAUCAGUAUAUUGUUUUAUAUAUGAGUUUAUAAUCCCUUCAAAAAUGGAUUUACUGUCAAAGAUAUCCGUUCUAAGACAAGUUUCAGCCAGCAUUUUUUGUAAUUUACUUAUGCUGACAUUUUGAUCAAAGCUUUAUUCUUAUGCAUCUUCACAAUCUGCAAGAGGACAAUGGUUUCCACUGGCUAUUUGCUCAUAGCUUCCUUAUUUUUAGUCAAGUAAACUUUGACUAACUUAACUCUUUUCUAUCUCUGGAUUGUCCUUCAAACGUAGUAGGGUUGUCAUUUUAUAUGUAUUGGGAGAAAGAGGAAAAAACAAUGGCAUUUAUUUUAGUUAAUGUCCCUUUCACAUUCUUUGUGUUGUUUCUGAACCCUAGAUGCUGUUCCCUGUCAAAAGUGUCACCCUAAUGCCUUCUGUUGUUUCACAUUUUUUGAUUCAUUUCCUAAAUAUAUGUUGCUCAACUUGUUGAGUGUCUUUCUAUUCAAAGUGAAGUAUGGCUUAAUUUCAACAGGGAAGGAAGGCUAUUUGGAUCAAACUGCCUAUCAUGCUUGUCAAUCUUGUUGAACCUGCCGUUAAGGUGACAAUAUAUCCUUACCUACCAGAAACUUUCUUUAGUUUGCGAAUUGUGAGGAAGCAUGAUUGUUUUUGCGGACAUGAAAAAAAUGAACCGUAGUCUGGAAGACUGGAACAUAUAUUGGAGUUGUUUACCAUGACCAGGAUAAUGAGAACACUUGAGACUGAUAAAAACAGCGAUUCCAAUGGAGAUGAAACUGUUCUAUAAUCUGCAUCUUAGCAUUUAUUUGUAGAAGGAAAUUCAAUCCAAAAACAAUCAUGUCCCAUAAGUUAAUUACAAUCUGUAAUGUUAUUAUAUUCUGCCAGAAGUUAUCUUAAGAUAACAUGACAGAAACGCCAAUGGAUUUUGAACCUAAAAGCCCAAGUAGAGUGAAGGUGAGUAAGAAUAAAGUUUCAUUAAGUGAAGACUAUUAAAUAAUAGAAGUAAGGUAAUGUAGCUCUCAUCAAGUGAAGUAAUAUAAUAAAAGGUAAUCUAGCAGGUUCGAAAUAAAUCUGUGAUUUCUUGUGCUUUAUCGCAAAGCAAGGAAUUUGUAAUCAGUUCUCUUGAUACUAAAAAUGAAUAAUACACAAGAUGCUUCUUCCUAGAGAAUUACACUUUAGCCUUCUCUUUCCUUUCCCCCUUUCUAUUCUUCCCCAGAUCUUCCUGCAGGUUCCGUACCAUUCCUGUUCUGAUAUAUUAUCUCCCAUUUAAGUGCUUUUCUUUCUUUCAGUCUGUUAUUUCCCCUCUUCUUUACAUUAGGGACGGAUCAUCUGUGCCUGUAGGUUGACUAGAUCCUAACAUCUCAAAAGAUAGGAAAGAAGAAAUGUUAUUCAGUUGAACAUGUUUAUGCCUUUUUUCCAUGAAGUGGUUGGACUAAAGCCUCUCCAAGAAAUUAGGUUAUUGUUUUCCAGCCUUGAUUAUCCAUUGGGGAAGGAAUAUAUCAAACCUAAAUUAACCACAUUAUUCUUCUUUUGUUCACUGUUGAUUUUGCUUUUAGAAGAAUGUUUGCAUUAUAUUCUGCUACUUCAUAUGAUGCAGGAGGGAUUUCAGUACCAUCAUGCUGAGCCAGGAUAUUUGAUGCUUGUAAAUUGGCUUCCAGUCAGUGCUCCUAGGCUGCCUGUAAAUGCCUCUCACCGAGUUGGAAUUGGUGCUUUGGUAGUGAAUCAUGAUCAAGAGGUUUUGUUUUUUCCUCAUUAAUCUUACAUUUCACUGGUGUUUCUUUAUAUUUUUAUCUUGUUGGUAUGAGUUAAGUGUAUAAUUCACCUUUUGUCUAUUAAAAUAGGUCCUAGUUGUCCAAGAAAAGAAGGGAAAAUUAAAAAAUAAUGGAGUUUGGAAGCUGCCAACUGGUGUAGUAAAUGAGGUGCAGUAUGUUUCUAUAUCUUUGAUUGACUCUAGAACAGUUGGUUUAAGCACAAGUAUAGAUACUUUUCUCUGUGCGUUGACAGGGUGAGGAUAUUUCGGCAGCUGCUAUUAGAGAAGUAAAAGAGGAGACAGGAGUAAGUCGUCAAUUGUGGCUUGUGAGGUUCAUGUAACAAAAUAAGUACCGUGUUUAACAUUUGCCAACAGAUCUCAGAAACAAUUUUGAUUUCUGUUUCAGAUUGAAACAAGAUUCUUGGAAGUCCUUGCCUUCAGGUAAGUCUGAUUUGCUUGCCAAUAUUUUGGAUGGAAUAUGGUAAACCAAGCAUUCUGUUCCAAGGAGUUGCAUAAUUCAGAAAGGCCGCAAAGAGUUCGUUUCUUUUUCCUUCUUUUGUUACUUCUUGGAGAUUCUGAAAGCUACAAUUUAUGUAUAACUACAGGCAAAGCCACAAAGCAUUCUUUGAAAAGUCAGAUUUGUUUUUUGUUUGCAAAAUGCAACCACUCUCUUUUGAUGUGCAGAAGCAAGAUUCUGAGAUUGAGGCAGCAAAGGUGAAUUCUAUAGUUGACUAUGAAUCUUAUGUUGCUUUCUUUUUUAUAGACUGCACCACAAAUCCCUAAACAGCUGAGCGUGAAAAUCAUCUUUUAAUGAUCAUUGGUCUAUAUUAUUUCUUCACUAAGUGGAAAAGUUUGAGUCCUUCCUGUUAUAAUUCACUUGUGGACCUGAUGUAGCACUAGUUUGCAGUCAAAGAAAGGUAUUAUAAAUGGUUAUGCUGAAAAUCCUAAGCAUUGAGCUAGAAACAUUAAUUUUCUCUCUUCCCACAAAACAUUGUCAUCAUGUGUUUGGGUUGUCGAGAUACUUCACAAUACUUUUAUCAACAAAGGCCCUUACCGCGAUCUAUGAGACAUUAGACACUUCAUUGCCACUGGUAUGACAAGUUAUUCUGAAUAGAUAGCAGAAACAAACACUCUUAAGAAAUUUUGCCCAAAUGGAUAGCUUGAAGCCAAAGGUUUAAUCAAGUUUUGUCACUUGUUUUUGUGAAUUAUUGAAAGAGCUAAAGGAGGUUGAUCUCUUGAAGGGAAGUACUAGAUUUUAGGCCAUCAGAAUGAAGCUUGAAAAAAUGUAGAGUCAUAGCAGGCAUCAAGAUUCAUAAAAUAAAAAGCUUGCAUUGCUUGGAAUAGCUGUUGUUGUUAGAAUCUCAGAAGUUUAUCGAAGCUCUGAGCCGAAACAAGAGAAGUUAAGUCUUAGCUCAGAAUUUCCUAUCUUAGAACCAAGUGUUACAUGUUAUAAUUCAUAUCUAGAUCCCAAAAUUACCAAUUACUAAUUACUACCUCAUUAAUCUGAAACUUAUUAGUGAAAAGACGUUUUACAUUUGCUCAUUCGAUGUUCAGCACAUUGCAUCGAACCACGUGGAUCCUUUACAUAAUCCUGACUUUGCUUAUCAAUGUUUGCUGCAGUGGAUGCCAUUGGAAGAGUAUGCAGCUCAACCUUUCGUGCAAAACAACGAGAGUUUCAAUCUCGUCUCCAAAAUAUGCUUGGCAAAGGAAAAUGAUCGGUACACUGGCUUUUCUCCUCUACCAACAAUUACGGCAUUUUCUGCUAAGGAGAUUUAUUUGUACUUCAACCAUCAAUACUUAAGUAAAAUUAUUGUGCCGACAAGGUGAUAAUCAGACAAGCAUAAACUCUCUAGCCCCUAUCUGAUUUUAUGAUUGACUUCUGGAGGAGGCAUAUCCAUGAUUAUUUGUUUUAAGCAGUGUUUUCUGCCUUUUGCCUGUCACUAGUUAAAGUGGGAUGUCACGCGCUGCCCAAGUCUCGUUAAUUUGGAAUAUUUAGUUUCAAUGAGGAGUUGCACACUGGUGCAUGGGAAGCUCCACGUAGUGCAAGUUUUGAAAGACCACACUUAAACAUCCUUCCUCGUAUGCAUUUGUCUAGGAGGAUAUUGCUGGCUAGAAGUGGCAAAAUGGAUUCAUAUCCACCAAUCCAUCCAUAUAAACCAAUCUUAAAUGGAUUUGGAUGAUCCAUAUAAAUUCAAUGGUUUUAAAUGGAUAACCAUUUAAAUCCAAUUAUGUUGGUGGAUUUAAAUGGAUUAUCCAUCUUAUCCAUAUACAUCCAUUUAACUUAAAAAAUAGAAAACACAUUUAUAAAAAUGUGAGAUAAAAUCUUGUGUGACCAUCUAUUCUUUUCUUCAUAACUUCCUCAUAUGUCAAAUUAAUUUUGUGGGACCACCUAUUCUUUCCUUCAUAACUUCCUCACAUGCCAAGUUGCCAAUAACAUUAAUUGCAUUUUAUUUGCUUCUAGUUUCUAGACUUCUUCCAUCCUUUUCAAAAUUAUAUUUUAGUCUCUACUCUUGUUUUUUUUAAUUAAACUCUCAUGUAGUAAUGAUUGCAAACAUUUAUAUUCUUAAGUAAAGAAAAAGCGAGAAUGCAUCAUGCAGUGUCAAAAUAAUUUUUAUUUUUUUAAUUCUUUUAUUUAUAAAAAGAAUUUUUCUAACGAGUGUCCCCGCAACAUUGGUUAAGAUAUGUAAAUGACAAUUUUAUUUAUUUUUUCCAAAUCCUAGUACUUGCAAUCCCUCUCCCCUUAUCACCUAACCCAACUAUCCAAAAAAAAAGACACCUAAUUUAUUAAGUAAUAUAAGGUAGCUUGUGUAUCAAUGGUAUAAUAAGGAAUUUCAUACAUUUUUAGGUACUACGUGCACAUAUGAUGAAAAUAUUUUACUUGUCAAAUAAUAUAAGAUUUCUUGUUAGAACUGCACUUUUAUUCAAGACAUCACUCUUGAACAGGAGUGCAAAAAAUUGGAAACGUAAACUUCUUUUCACUGUAAAGCCGUAUUCAAUUCAUUCAAAAGUUAUAAAAAUGUAGCCAAGUUCUUAAUUGUUCAUUACUUUACAAAAUGAUACUUAAAGUAAUGACGAAAGAUUAAAUUGACCACAGCAGUUAAAUUUUCUUGGAACUAAACUAAUUUUAUGAAGUACUGAAAUAGAGUAGUAGUACAAGCAUUUGUUAUUACCAAAAGAUUUUAGGUGAUUUAAGAAUAGAACUUUGGGGAUAUGUAUUUUUUGGAAAAAAACAUUUGGAUCUUAAAUUUAGGAUUUGGGAGAGUAAAUGGAUAAAUGGAUGGAUCAUGGUUUACACUAUCCAUUUAAAUGACAUCCAUUUAGAUCCAUUUAUUAAAUGGUUUUAAUUGGAUUGGAUCAAUUUGAUCCACUAUCCAUUUAACUAAAACCAUUUAUCAACCAUAUAUCCAUUUUGCCACUUCUAUUGCUGGCCAUAAAAUGAAUAAUUGCAUUGCAUCCACCAUUGAGGUAAUCUCUGAGACAAUUAAAACCAAUUGCGGAAGCAAUGGAUACACAUUGCACGGUAGCAAUCAGACGAAACUUUUUUAUGCAUGGCCACAUUCGUCUCGACUCUUCCAUAUCAUUAUGGUUCGCCAUCUCAGCCGAGUCCGCGAUGGCUCGGCCGAAACAUAACCGGAACAAUGGGACCAGUACGAUACCGAUUCAUGAAUUGCAGAUUUAGCUAUAUUCGAGAUGACUCAUAAUAACUUGGCCGAUAUCGGAUGAGUUGUAACGGUUUUGGUGUGUAUCGUUGAGAAAUCAGCAAGUCGGACUGAGUUGUAUCGGAAAUGGAACCAAAAAAGUUUUUGGCUGUAGAGGGACAAAAGCUGCAGCUAACAGGGAGAUGAAGUAAUGAGAGAAGAGUAGUUCUAUUGUGAGAGUUAAUGUGGCUGUGUGUGAGAGAGAGUAAAAAAAGAAUAAAAAGGGAAGAGACCACCAGCCUUUGUGGUGGUUGGUGGUGGUUAUGGAGGAAACAAAUAGAAGCAACAGCAAUGGUAGUAGUAUGAGGAGUGACGUUAAGGAAGAAGAAAAGAAAAGGAAAAAAGUUAUAAGUUGCUCCUUAAUCUUUUUAAAAUUAUGAAUCUGCCCCAAAAGUUCCUUAAACUAUAUUACAACAUAGGUAUAUUUUUUAUGAUCACUUUUGCCUACUAUCAAUUUCAUCCUUACUAACUAGAUUCAUCUUAAGCUCUACAUUUGGUGUUUUAUUUAAUACUAGUUUGUUAAUGAAAAUUGGGGCACAAAGUAAUUUUGCUACUAUAAUUAUUACUUUUAAUGCUACAAGGCCAUGGCUACAGUAGCAUCACUUUAUCUCAAUAUUAGUUUGUAUAUAUAUGAUAAUAUGAUAUUCAACAAAUCUAAUUAGAUAAUUGUGCUUGCUAUGUUAUUUUCUAUUUUUAGUAAUUUUGUCAGAAUUUUUUAAAACUUUUAUGUGCUAUCAUAUGCAUAUCACCUAAUAUAUAACCGAUAUGCCGUGACGAAUGCGGAAUAACCGCGAUCACGCCGCAAUCGCGACCCGCGAUGGCAAACCAUGAUAUCAAGAUUGAUAAAUCAAUUACCUUUUUGAAGCUGGUUGUUGUCAAUGUUAUCAAAGGCAUGAUUCUCUUCUAUUGCAUCAUCCACUUCUACCAGGUGUUGAUGAAGUUGCUGCAAUGACAGUAAUAUAGUGGCUGAGAUGAAAAAACUACAGUUAAGGAAAAGAACAUCAGACCAUAAAGUCGUAGUUGUUUUCUACUAUUCUUGGUCUCCCAUUUGUGUAACUUGAUAAUUCCUUGAUCUAGUCUGCCUGUGAUACUCCAUCACCAAAUCGGCAAGGUAUUGGCUGUGUUACUACAAUACAUUAUCAUCUCGAACUCACAAGGCCAAGUAACGCAUCUUUCACCCUUUAUUUUCCUUCUCUAUAGUUUUUAAAAAAUGAGGAGCCUUCAAAAUAAAGUCAGUAUCACAAUAAACACAACAAAAAAUCCAAUAUGAGAUUGCAACAAAACCUCACAAUAGUAUCAAUCUAUACACCUAAGCACCGUCAAUUGCAUGGUUGGUCAUCAGUGUAGAUCACUGGUUUUAUUACCAAACUGUUCUCAGUUUCCUAUUUGUUUCUAACAUAUUACUGCCCACUAUCUUGGCAAUUUUUAGCAAAAUAAAAAUGAUUUAUAUGUAAGUAUAUGGAAAAGAUUCAGAUAACUUGGAAGCACAAAGAGAGUCUGGAGUGGUUGUAAACUAACUUCAUUUGAAGGCAGGCUCCACCUUUUGCCGUAGGAAUUUCAGCAGCCAUUGAAUUUCAAAACUCAAAGGUUCACAUGUUAAGCUAAUUGUUUCAAUUUUUUGCACCAAGAUCCAUCUUCAACAUUCAACUUUAUUAAAUCACACACGAACAUGGCAGGUACUUUUAUCUGAAUUUCUAAAGCAAACGCAGAAAACCAAAGCAGCUCUAGUCACAUACAACCUCUACUCUAAGCAAAAACCUGAGAUUGAAAAAUGAACAAAACUGGGGAAAAAAUCUGAAGAAAUCACAUUUUGCACAGUGAAACGUAAAUCGAUAAGAAUGCACACCCUUAGCAAUAUUAGCAUGAAAAUAACCUUCAAAACUUCGAAACUGUAAGUUGUUUAAACAUGUCUCGAGAACCCCAAUUUCCUACCCACCAUAAAAUUUCCAAGAAAAAAAAAUCUCAAUUUCCUCAAGCAUGAAGUAGCGUUUAAUUCUAAGACCGCGCAUGGCAAGCAGGACAAGAACUUACGACGCAUGAACUCUAACAACCAUUCUAUUGUUACUUCCAAAAUCAGGACUGUAAUAUGUAUAUCUGCAUUCCAUACCCCCAAGGUUGCAAAAAAUUUACUCUCACAUGCAAAACAAAUACCACCAUCAAUCAAAAGGAAUGGUUAACAAGACAAAUUGUUCUGUGAGGCAGAACAAAGCAAUAGAGUACAUAUUCCAACAAGAACCCAAAAUGCUCAUUAAAAAUCAAUUUGGUUCUUAACUGAAAAUGGUCAUUACUCCCACAUGCAAAACAAAUAUCAUCAAUCAAAAGGAAUGAUUAACAAGACGAAUUGGUCUGUGAGGCAGAACAAAGCAAUAGAGUACAUAUUCCACCAAGAACUGAAAAUGGUCAUUAAAAAAUCAAUUUGAUUCUUAGCAGGGUAACAAAAGUUUAAUUAAUAUGUAAAGUUUACCUGAGCAGCUUUUGGUGCAUUUCUAGGCAUUCACAGGUAGUAUGGAACUGAGAUGAAAAUGAAGCUUGUAGACCUCAUGCAUUAGUAGUUUUUUGCCUCAUUUCCUUUGCACUUCAGUUAUCCAGUUAUCUGAUACACAUUAGACAAGACCAACAUCGAAAACACUGGAUUAAUACAAAUUAAAACAAAAAAAAAGUCAUAAUAAAAUUUCGCGAAGUAGAGUAAUUAGUUGAAAUUUACAAGUCCAAUUGAAACAGCAAGCGGCGAGUCGCUCUUCUGGACAUGGACUCUACGGUGGCCACGCCUCAUGUAGAGCGUGUGGGUCUUAUUUCUUCUCUUACCAAAGCUCGCUUUUCGCUUAUCCCUUGCUGGUUACUGUUAAAUUCAUGAGUAAAAAAUUAUGUUUUACGUUAAUUUAAGAGAGAAGAAUAAGUAGUUAAUAUGUAAGGGUUCGAGACUUAAUAAUUUAAGUUUUUGAAUCAAAGUUGGAUUUCUGACUUACAUAUUGAGCUAUUUGAUGAAUUCUCUCGAGACGUUUCUCUCUAACAAGUGGUAUCAGAUUUUUAGGUUGUGACUCUAAGCUAUUUAAAGAGUUUGGUUGGUGUUGAACCAGUUGUGCUAUGGGUUUGGCAGGGGAUUCGGUUGGUGUUAGACCAAGAAACUAAGGGUUGGCAGGAGUUCAGAAUCCAGUUUGGAUGUUAAACAAGCUACUCAUGGGCAAGUGAAUUCUUUUCGAAGAAAAGCUUGUAUACUAGGAUUUAACGUGAGGUUUAAUGUGAGGGGUUAUUCAUGAAGGUAGAAAUCUGUUAGAUUCAUGAGUAAAGAAUUAUAUAUCACAUUAAUCCGAGAGAUGCAAGGGGAGAUCUGUUAAAUUCAUGAGUAAAGGAUUAUACCGUAUAUUAAUUCAAGAGAUAGAGAACACUUCAUAUGUAAGUAAGGAUCUAAAAUCUAAUAGUUUAAUCUUUUGGAUCAAAGUUGGGUUGGUGACUUACAUAUGACCUGAAACCUAAUAACUUAACUUAUUGGAUCAAAAUUGAGUUCUUGAUUUACAUAUUAAAUUCUUUGAUAGGCUCUCUGAAGGCGUCUGUCCCUAAUAAUUAUGAUAUGCAGGAUCCCAGGAGGAUACUCUGGUUUUCUAAGAAGAAAUAUAGAUAGCACAUACCUGAGGUUGGAGGAUUUCUAAAGUGGUUGAGAUUGAGAAGAUGAGAAUCAAAAAGAGGUUGAGGAGGAGGCAGCGGUGUUAGUAGAUUCAUUCAGUAGAGAGAGAGAAAUGUGAGUUGCAGCGGCAGAGAACCUCCAUAAGCCCCUCUGGCGGUCGAUCGGUGCGGUGGAAAGGGGUGAGGUGAGAGCAGAGAGGAGUAAAAGGACGCAAAAUUCAACCCUGUUAAUAAGUAAAAAUACACAGGAACGGUAUAAUAGGCAUGUAAGGGUACUACGGGUAUCCAUGUGCAACACUUUUGAGCAUAGCACACAAUUUCUUCGACACAAUAAAUAAAUGUGAAAUUACAGGGAAUAGAUAACUACUGAAGGUGUCCACAGGGACCAGAUUUACUCUUCAUAACUCCAACUCCAACGCCCCUUUUUCCUUUUGUUGGGAAUUGGGAUAUGCAGCAAUCAAAGAAGGAUCUCUUGCUGAAGAUGAUUAAUUCGGAUUUACUUUUAUUUGUUUCAGUAAAAAGUCUAGAAUAUGUCUAAAAACUACAGAUGUAGAAACAUCUGGAGACCAUAUACAGUGGCUAAUGCAUAUCAUUACUUUGUUUGGCUGUCCCGUUUUACC
rnacentral:lncRNA from 1 species